ensembl:lncRNA
GAGGGAAGGAGGCAGUGAAAGAAAAUGGGAGCAGGAGGCAGAGCGGCGCCUGGACCGGAGGGAAGGGCCACCCCACCCCACCCCAAGCUGUCGCGGGGCUCCUCCCCGCCCUCCAGCCCAGGCCUCCCGCCGGCUCAUUGCUGGUUCCUAUGCACUGUCCCCACCCCAAGACUCCAGCCUAGGAGCCCCCCCUUCAAGGAGGUGGCUGCACCCCAUUGGCCUGUCUCCUAACCCUCUUGUCCUGGCACCAGGGGUGGCAAACGAAGAGGGAACAACCUCCUCCAUCCGUCUCUCUCUGGGCAUCCUGCCCUGCCCAGGGACUGGCAUGGGGCAAUACCCGCAGUGUCCCCCAACUCAAGGCCUCCAGGGUUGACCCCAAAGAGCCCCCUUAGCGGGAAGGAGGUUUGGGUACAUCUACAUCCAUCCUACCUUCUGGAGAGGCAUGCGGAGGUUCCAGAGAGGGGAAACUGCGGCAGAAGAGAGCCAAAGUCACAGUAUGGACCGCCUCACCCCUCCCAAGUGUCCCACCCUUAAUGCCCCCCAGUACCCCCACCACCCGGCUCCUGGCCUACUCCCCAUCCUCCGUGGCAACCACGAUCCUGCCUGGGGGAACUGGAGUCUGGGUCCACGAUGGAAAUCUGCCCUUGAAGAACUGCCCCCAGGGAUGGAUUCCAGUGCUAUGCUCCACGUAGCACCUUCCCUACCCCACUUCCUACUCCUCAAGCCCCUCUAGGUCCUGGUGACAUCCACUCCUCCAGCCAGCCCUCCCAGCCUGCUGGCACUUGCUCCCUACUGUUUCCCAUGGGGUUGGGCAGUGGGAUCUGGCUGCCUAGGUUCAGAUCCAGGCCUCACCUCUUUCUGCCUGUAUUCCCCCCCACCCUCGCCCCCGGCAGCUUGGUUAACCAUUCAGAGCCUCAGUGUCCCCAUCUGUCAAACGAGGGUAGCUUUGAAAACCUAUGGCAUGAGACUUUGAUGAUGCUGAAAGGUCAUAUGUGCAAACUGGGUAGAAGAACCCUAGGCCUGUUGCUAGAGCCACACCGGCUCCUCACGUGUGCCAAGCUGCUUCAGUGGUGUCCGAUCCUUUGUGAACCCGUGGACUGUAGCCCACCAGGCUUCUCUGUCCAUGGGGAUUCUGCAGGCAAGAAUACAGGAGUGGGUUGCCAUGUCCUCCUCCAGAGGAUCUUCCUGACCCAGGGAUCAAACUCAAGUCUCUGACAUCUCCUACAUUGGCAGGAAAGAGACAGACACACAACGGGAGAAUGCUACAUGGUGAUGGAGACAGCCUGGAGUGAUGUGUCUGCAAGCCAAGGAAUGCCAAGGAUGGCUGACAACCACGAGAAGCUGGGAGAGGCAUGGAGAGAGCAUCCCCUAGAGACCUCCGGGAGAGCGGGGCCCUGCUGACACCUUGAUUUCAGAGUUCUGAUGUCCAGAACUGUGAGAUGAUAUAUUCCUUUUUUAAAUUUUUUUUUGCUAUUUAUUUAUUUAUGGCUGUACUGGGUCUUCGUGGCUGCACGUGCGUUUUCUCUAGUUGUGGCGAGUGGGAGCUACUCUGUUGCAGUACACAAGCUUCUCAUUGUGGUGGCUUCAGCUCCGUGAAAGUGUUAGUGGCUCAGUCAUGUCCGACUCUUUGUGACCCCAUGAACUGUAGCCCUUCAGCCUCCUAUGUCCAUGGAAUUCUCCAGGCAAGAAUACUGGAGUGGGUAGCAAUGCCCUUCUCCAGGGGGUCUUCCUGACCCAGGAAUCAAACCAGGGUCUCCUGCAUUUCGGGCAGAUUCUUUACUGUCUGAGCCACCAGUGAAGCCUUUCAGCUCAAUGACUUGGAGCAAAUCUUUUGCCCACUCCUGGCUUUUGUAUGCUUAGCACUCUCUGCAGUCCCAAGGCAUAAACGUGGACAACGGGUCCUCUGUCCCAUGGACAUGGCAUCACUUCACAUACUGCGAAGCCCUUCCAGCCUUCCAGAAUCUCCCCAGGCAGAAUUAAUGCAUUCCAAGUGCCUCAGUGCAGGGUUAGGUGGCUGCUGUCAUUACUGAGAAUUUAAGGCUAUUGAUGUCCUUGUUUCUCCAGCAAGUCAAGAACCUCCCUGAGAGCAAGAAAUGGCCUUUCAUUGAUGCAGCCCAGUGUGACAGAACUAUCUUCUGGUAAAACAAAGGGGUGUAACUCCCUUUAGGUGCACAGGCAGUCAGUAAUGUCCAUCUGGUCAAAAGCAAGAGAAUUUACAUGUGUGACACAAGCUGAAUCUCAGUGAAGACCCCAGUGCUGCUGUUAAAACGGCCUGGGUUCAAAUCCCAGUCCAACCUAGGACUGGCUGAAUCAGUUGUAAGUGAGUGACUUUGUUGCUCUGUACCUCAGUUUCUCUGACUGUAAAAUGGGGAAUAGUGGCAAUCCUACCUGGUUGGAUCAUUUCAAGGAUUAUGUUUUUUUUUAAGUUGAAGUAUAAUUGCUUUAGGGCUUCCCUGGUGGCUCAGUGGCAAAGAAUCCACCAGCAAUGCAAAAGAUGUGGGUUCAAUUCCUGGGUUGGGAAGAUCCCCCUGGAGGAGAGCAUGACAACCCACUCCAGUAUUCUUGCCUAGAAAAUUCCAAGGACAAGAGGAACCUGGUGGGCUAUAGUUCAUAGGGUUGCAAAAAGUCAACAUAACUCAGUGACUGAGCACAGCACACACACACAUAACUGUUUUACAAUUCUGUGUUAGUUUCAGGUAUGUAGCAAAGUGAGUCAGUUAUACAUACGCAUAUAUCCACUCUGUUUUAGAUUCUUUUCCCAUACAGGUUAUUACAGAGUAUCAAGUAGUUCCCUGUGUAUACAGUAGGUCCUUAUUAUUUAUCUGUUUGAUAUACAGUACUGUGUAUAUGAAGGAUUAAACCUUUAAUCCAUUUGAGUUCAUUUCACCAGUGAUAUAAGAAAGGGAUCUGGUUUCAUUCUUUCACAUGUGAAUAUCCAGUUUUCCCAGAACCAGACUUCCCUGGUGGCUCAGACGGUAAAACAUCUGCCUGCAAUGCAGGAGACCCGGGUUUGAUUCCUGGGUUGGGAAGAUCCCCUGCAGAAGGAAAUGGCAAUCCACUCCAGCACUCUUGCCUGGAAAAUCUCAUGGACGGAGGAGCCUGAUAGGCUACAGUCCAUGGGGUCGAAAAGAGUCGGACACGACUGAGCGACUUCACUUUCACUUUCACCUUUUCUCUAUUGAAUCUUCUUGGGUCCUUUGUCAAAUAUUAGUUGACCAAAUAUGUAUGGGUUUACUUCCAGGCCUCUUGAUUCCAUCCUACUGGUCUAUGUGUCUUUUUUUUAGUGCCAAUACUAUACUGUUUUGAUUACUAUUGCUUUGUAAUACAGUGUGAAAACAAGAUGUUUGAUGCCUCCGGCUUUGUUCUUGCUCCCUUCAAGGAUUAAAUGAGAUCAUACCAUACUCAGAAGUUAGAUGCACAGUAAGUACGUAAUGAGUGUUGGUUCCACACAUGAGUGGGCAGCACUGGCAGAGUGUGUGCAUGGAGAAAGAUGUGAGGCCAGCAAGCUGCCCCCCAGGGGCCAUACGGUCAGCACCAGUGGACUAAGAACUCUUCCCUUAUAUCAUUUUCUUCCUUAUGCAGGUACAGGAAGAGAAAGGGGCUGACUGGGGGUGAUUCGAGAUCCAAUCUAGCCUGACUU